AUUGAACGCUGGCGGCAUGCCUUACACAUGCAAGUCGAACGGUAACGGGCCUUCGGGUGCCGACGAGUGGCGAACGGGUGAGUAAUACAUCGGAACGUGCCCGAUCGUGGGGGAUAACGAGGCGAAAGCUUUGCUAAUACCGCAUACGAUCUACGGAUGAAAGCAGGGGACCGCAAGGCCUUGCGCGGACGGAGCGGCCGAUGGCAGAUUAGGUAGUUGGUGGGAUAAAAGCUUACCAAGCCGACGAUCUGUAGCUGGUCUGAGAGGAUGAUCAGCCACACUGGGACUGAGACACGGCCCAGACUCCUAGGGGAGGCAGCAGUGGGGAAUUUUGGACAAUGGGCGCAAGCCUGAUCCAGCCAUGCCGCGUGCAGGAUGAAGGCCUUCGGGUUGUAAACUGCUUUUGUACGGAAAGAAAAGCCUUCUUUUAAUACAGGAGGGUCAUGACGGUACCGUAAGAAUAAGCACCGGCUAACUACGUG
rnacentral:rRNA from 1 species